GCUGGGCAUGGUGGCGCAUGCCUGUAAUCCCAGCUACUCAGGAGGCUGAGGCAGGAGAAUCGCUUGAACCCAGGAGGUGGAGGUUGUGGUGAGCUGAGAUUGCGCCACUGCACUCCAGCCUGGGCAAAAAGAGCGAAACUCUGUCUCAA
ensembl:misc_RNA Metazoa_SRP Metazoan signal recognition particle RNA